GAUGAAGAACGUAGCGAAAUGCGAUACGUAAUGUGAAUUGCAGAAUUCAGUGAAUCAUCGAAUCUUUGAACGCACAUUGCGCUUUCUGGUAUUCCGGAGAGCAUGCUUGUUUGAGUAUCAGUAAACACCUCAACUCCUUUAUUGUAGUUGGACUUGAGCUAUCCCAACAGGACUUUUUGUUCCUGGCGGGAGGCUUGAAAUGCAGGUGCAGCUGGACUUUCUUCUGAGCUAUAAGCAUAUUUAUUUAAUCCCUUAACACGGAUUAUUACUUUUUUGCUGCAGCUAACAUAAAGGUUGAAUUUCCAUUGAGCUGACUGAUGCAGGAAUUUGGCAAGGAAUUUUUUUAAUGACUUGUUAAACUCGAUCUCAAAUCAAGUAAGACUACCCGCUGAACUUAAGCAUAUCAAUAAGCGGAGGA
rnacentral:misc_RNA from 1 species